AGUAACGCGUGGAUAACCUGCCUCACACUGGGGGAUAACAGUUAGAAAUGACUGCUAAUACCGCAUAAGCGCACAGUACCGCAUGGCACAGUGUGAAAAACUCCGGUGGUGUGAGAUGGAUCCGCGUCUGAUUAGCCAGUUGGCGGGGUAACGGCCCACCAAAGCGACGAUCAGUAGCCGACCUGAGAGGGUGACCGGCCACAUUGGGACUGAGACACGGCCCAA
rnacentral:rRNA from 1 species